CCCGACUUCUGGAGGGAGCGACAAUAACAGCGAUUAUGUCUCUGGAGCGGAACAGUUCUGUAAUAGCAGACAGCAAGGGACAGUGGGAUCAGCAGGACAUGUCGGAACGUCACCUGGACGAGCCAUCGGCUGGUUCACUUUGAAAUUAUUGGGCGACCACCAAGUUCCCUUAUCACCAAGGCAACCAUAUGCCACCAAAAGCUCUUCUGUAAGGCUGCAAUGUGACUCCAGAGGACAGAGGACUCUCACAUGCCUCCAUCUUUUAUUAGGAUGCCCCGACUGCUGGAGGGAGCGACAAUAACAGCGAUUAUGUCUCUGGAGCGGAACAGUUCUGUAAUAGCAGACAGCAAGGGACAGUGGGAUCAGCAGGACAUGUCGGAACGUCACCUGGACGAGCCAUCGGCUGGUCGUUCAGCGGGGACAAAGCCAAACACAACAGGGAGACAAUUAGGAACAAGUGGGUCAGGUAAGAGGAAUCCAUGAGAAGCAAUAAAGCCGACUGAAGGAUGGCGGAGCGGAGACUGCGCCGCAAACACAACAGUAAUAGCAAAGCAACCUGCACACAAGUCGUGCACACCACACAGUGAUCCCAAUCCGGAUACAUCCGGGAAUGUUCCGUAAAACGGAGAAAAGUCCAUGCAGUCGCCUGACCUGCUGAAUAUUGUCAUUGUCCGCCAUUACACUGCAGCGGA